CCUACGGGUGGCUGCAGUGGGGAAUUUUGGACAAUGGGGGCAACCCUGAUCCAGCCAUUCCGCGUGAGUGAAGAAGGCCUUCGGGUUGUAAAGCUCUUUCGGCAGGAACGAAACGGCGGGCUCUAACAUAGCCUGUCAAUGACGGUACCUGAAGAAGAAGCACCGGCUAACUACGUGCCAGCAGCCGCGGUCAUACGUAGGGUGGGGGCGUUAAUCGGAUGCAGGGGGCGUAAAGCGUGCGCUGUGAAAUCCCCGGGCUUAACCUGGGAACUGCGGUUGUGACUGCAAGGCUCGAGUGUGGCAGAGGGGGGUGGAAUUCCACGUGUAGCAGUGAAAUGCGUAGAGAUGUGGAGGAACACCGAUGGCGAAGGCAGCCCCCUGGGUCAACACUGACGCUCAUGCACGAAAGCGUGGGUAGCAAACAGGAUUAGAUACCCCAGUAGUC
rnacentral:rRNA from 1 species